rnacentral:rRNA from 1 species
UACGUAGGGUGCGAGCGUUGUCCGGAAUUAUUGGGCGUAAAGGGCUCGUAGGCGGUUUGUCGCGUCGGGAGUGAAAACCAGGUGCUUAACACCUGGCUUGCUUUCGAUACGGGCAGACUAGAGGUAUUCAGGGGAGAACGGAAUUCCUGGUGUAGCGGUGAAAUGCGCAGAUAUCAGGAGGAACACCGAUGGCGAAGGCAGCUCGCUGGGACGGUACUGACGCUGAGGCGCGAAAGCGUGGGGAGCAAACAGG